AUCAAUCUACCCUUGGGACGGGUAUAACCCCGGGAAACUGGGGAUAAUACCCGAUAGGCGGGGGUUCUGGAAAGGUCCCUCGUCGAAACGCUCCGGCGCUCAAGGACGAGAUUGCGGCCUAUUAGGUAGUUGGUGAGGUAAAGGCUCACCAAGCCGAAGAUGGGUACGGGCCCUGAGAGGGGGAGCCCGGAGAUGGGGACUGAGACAAGGCCCCAGGCCCUACGGGGCGCAGCAGGUGCGAAAAUUCCGCAAUGCGUGCAGGCGUGACGGAGCGACUCCCAGUGCCGAUGGUCUAACAAUCGUCGGCUUUUCUGGAACGUAAAAAGUUUCAGGUAAUAAGGGCCGGGUAAGACUGGUGCCAGCCGCCGCGGUAACACCAGCGGCUCAAGUGGUAGCCGAUUUUAUUGGGCCUAAAGCGUCCGUAGCCGGACUAGCAAGUCUUUUGUGAAAUCGGACGGCUUAAUCGUUCGGCUUGCAAGGGAAACUGCCAGUCUUGGGAUCGGUAGGCGCCAAGGGUACUCCAGGGGUAGCGGUGAAAUGCUAUAAUCCCUGGGGGACCGCCAGUGGCGAAAGCGCUUGGCGAGGCCGAAUCCGACGGUGAGGGACGAAGGCCAGGGGCGCGAACCGGAUUAGAUACCCGGGUAGUCCUGGCUGUAAAGGAUGUGGACUAGGUGCUUGGUGUUCCUCGAGAACACUAGGUGCCGAAAGGGAAGCCGUUAAGUCCACCGCCUGGGAAGUACGGUCGCAAGGCUGAAACUUAAAGAAAUUGGCGGGGG
rnacentral:rRNA from 1 species